AAAAAGAAGAGCACUUAAGGAAGGAAGUGGUCUUUUUAGUCAUGAUAUAUAAGUAAAAUGUCCCUUGUGGAGGGAAUAAGAACCAGGUAGUUUAAUAAUGAUAAGAACAGUAAUACGAUAUAGUUCUAAAGCUAGAAAAAGAAAAAGUGCAUGAAGCCAUGGUUGCUUUUUCUUGUCCUAAUUAGCGUAUAUUUGAUUGCACUUCGAAGCUUUUCUUUGACAAUUAUUAAUUCUAGCUAAUAGCAUCAAAGCUACCAGCAAAUCUCAUCUCAGGAGGAAGAUCUUCCACAAAAAAGAAAAGACUAAAAAAAGAAUACAAACAAGAAAAUCAACCAAGAAAAAGAAAAUAAAGAAAGCAAAAGCUACCACAAGAACUCUUUUAUUCUUCAAAAAUGGUGGACGUGGGCUUGCAUUUCUAAGCUAUAAGGUGCCAUGCAAAAGAAAAAAGAAA
rnacentral:misc_RNA from 1 species